AUCCGUCUGACGAGUCCAAAAUAUGACGAAACGCGCAUCCUUGAU
rnacentral:hammerhead_ribozyme from 1 species